rnacentral:rRNA from 1 species
GACGAACGCUGGCGGCGUGCUUAAUACAUGCAAGUCGAACGGAAAGGCCCUGCUUUUGUGGGGUGCUCGAGUGGCGAAAGGGUGAGUAAAACGUGUGUAUACUGCCCUUGACAUUGGGAUAACUUAAGGAAACUGGGGCUAAUACCGGAUAGGAGCUCCUGAUGCAUGGUGGGGGUUGGAAAGAUUGGGCGGUUGGGGAUGGACGCGCGGCUAAUCAGCUUGCUGGUGGGGGAGUGGCUUACCAAGGCUUUGCCGGGUAGCCGGCCUGAGAGGGUGACCGGCGACAAUGGGACUGCGAGACGGCCCAGACGCCUACGGGAGGCAGCAGUGGGGAAUAUGGCACAAUGGGCGGAAGUCUGAGGCAGCGGUGCCGCGAUCGUGAUGACGUCCUUCGGGUGGUAAACCGCUUUCGCCUGUGACGAAGCGUGAGUGACGGUAAUGGGUAAGGAAGCACCGGCUAACUACGUG